rnacentral:lncRNA from 1 species
CCUUGAACUUUUUUUUUUUUCCCUUUCUUUUUUUUUUCGGAGCUGGGAACUGAACCCAGGGCCUUGUGCUUGCUAGGAACUGGUGAAGCAGAAGGUGAAGCGUCAGCUGACGAGGCAGCAGAAGGCAGCUGCCAGACGCCGGCUGCAGAAAGGAGAAGCCAAUAUAUUUACCAAGCAGCGGAGGGAAAACAUGCAGAAUAUCAAAUCAAGUUUGGAAGCAGACAGCUUUUGGGGAGACUAAUAAAUUUUUGAUCUGUAUAUUUUUUUAGAUACUGUAAUUCUAUUUUUAGCCAGUAUAUUGGUCUUUUUAAGACCAAAGCCAAUAUUUAUGGAAAUUAUGGAAAUAAACCCUUAUUAGACUC